rnacentral:rRNA from 1 species
GGGCCUGCGUUUCAUUAGCUACCNUUUUAGGGUAAUGGCCUACCAAGGCAACGAUGAGUAGCUGGUCUGAGAGGAUGAUCAGCCACACUGGAACUGAAACACGGUCCAGACUCCUACGGGAGGCAGCAGUGGGGAAUAUUGCGCAAUGGGCGAAAGCCUGACGCAGCAACGCCGUGUGAGGGAUGAAGGCUUUCGGGUCGUAAACCUCUGUCGGAAGGGAAGAACGGGCAUUGGUCUAAUAGGCCUUUGUUUUGACGGUACCUUUAGAGGAAGCACCGGCUAACUCCGUGCCAGCAGCCGCGGUAAUACGGAGGGUGCAAGCGUUAUUCGGAAUUACUGGGCGUAAAGCGCACGUAGGCCGCUUUGUAAGUCAGGGGUGAAAUCCCACGGCUCAACCGUGGAACUGCCCUUGAAACUGCAGAGCUUGAAUCCUGGAGAGGGUGGCGGAAUUCCUGGUGUAGGAGUGAAUCCGUAGAUAUCAGGAGGAACACCGGUGGCGA